rnacentral:rRNA from 1 species
CCUACAGGAGGCAGCAGUGGGGAAUCUUGCGCAAUGGGCGAAAGCCUGACGCAGCCAUGCCGCGUGGAUGAUGAAGGUCUUAGGAUUGUAAAAUCCUUUCACCGGUGAAGAUAAUGACUGUAGCCGGAGAAGAAGCCCCGGCUAACUUCGUGCCAGCAGCCGCGGUAAUACGAAGGGGGCUAGCGUUGCUCGGAAUUACUGGGCGUAAAGGGAGCGUAGGCGGACAUUUAAGUCAGAGGUGAAAUCCCGGAGCUUAACUUCGGAACUGCCUUUGAUACUGGGUGUCUUGAGUGUGAGAGAGGUAUGUGGAACUCCGAGUGUAGAGGUGAAAUUCGUAGAUAUUCGGAAGAACACCAGUGGCGAAGGCGACAUACUGGCUCAUUACUGACGCUGAGGCUCGAAAGCGUGGGGAGCAAACAGGAUUAGAUACCCUGGUAGUCCACGCCGUAAACGAUGAUUGCUAGUUGUCGGGAAGCUUGCUUCUCGGUGACGCAGCUACGCAUAGACACUACCGCCGUCGGGAGGUACGGUCGCGAGAUAAACUACAAGAGUAGUAGACGNGNGAGACGCGACGACGACGACGACGGAGGAGGAGG